rnacentral:misc_RNA from 1 species
GUUGCUCCUGUUGUUCC